rnacentral:rRNA from 1 species
UACAUAGGGUGCAAGCGUUGUCCGGAAUUAUUGGGCGUAAAGAGCUCGUAGGUGGUUCGUUACGUCGGAUGUGCAAUUCUGGGGCUCAACCCCAGACCUGCCUUCGAUACGGGCGAACUAGAGUGUGGUAGAGGAGACUGGAAUUCCUGGUGUAGCGGUGGAAUGCGCAGAUAUCAGGAGGAACACCAAUGGCGAAGGCAGGUCUCUGGGCCAUUACUGACGCUGAGGAGCGAAAGCGUGGGGAGCGAACAGG